rnacentral:rRNA from 1 species
AUGCCCCCGAAGAAGGCGGCGGCGUCGAAGGCCGACGUCGCGAAGAAGCAGAAGGUCGUGGAGGACAAGACCUUCGGGCUCAAGAACAAGAACAAGAGCAAGAACGUCCAGAAGUACGUCCAGUCGCUGCACCAGUCCGUCCAGCCCAAACCCGACCCGACCAAGACCGCCGCCAAGGCACGGGGAACACUCAGAUCGAAGCCGUCAAUUCCCUCAUCAGAUGUUUGCUCCUCUGACCUUUUUUUCUUGUUUGUGGAUGUGGAUGCGCAGAAGAAGAAGGAGGAGGAGAAGGCGCGCGAGAAGGAGCUCAACGAUCUAUUCAAGGUCGCCGUCAGCCAGCCCAAGGUCCCCGUUGGUGUCGACCCCAAGUCGAUACUUUGUGAGUUCUUCAAGGCCGGACAAUGUCAGAAGGGUUUUAAAUGCAAGUUCUCACACGACCUGAAUGUCCAAAGGAAGGGCGAGAAGAUUGAUAUUUACAGCGACAAGCGCGAUGGAGAGGAAGAAGAUACAAUGGAUGACUGGGACCAGGAGACCCUUGAGAAAGUUAUUGCGUCAAAAAACGCAGAGUACCAGCAGAACAAACCUACUGAUAUUGUUUGCAAGCACUUUCUUGAUGCUGUGGAGAAGAAGCAGUAUGGGUGGUUUUGGGUUUGUCCAAAUGGCGGCAAGGAGUGCCGCUACAGGCAUGCCCUUCCGCCUGGCUAUAUACUAAAGUCUCAGAUGAAAGCCUUACUAGAGGAAGAGAGUAAGAAGGUUGCAAUUGAAGAUGAGAUUGAAGAUCAGCGCAGAAAGGUUCAAACCACAACCCCUAUGACUACAGAAUUGUUCAUGGAAUGGAAAAGGAGGAAGGCAGAAGAAAAGGAAGCUGGUCUGGCGGCCUUGCGGGCGGAUAGGGCUAAGAAUGACCGUAUGAGUGGCCGCGAGUUGUUCAUGGCCGAUGCAAGUGUGUUUAUUGAUGAUGCUGAAGCAUAUGAAGUUUAUGAAAGACGUGAAGAGCCACAAGCUAACCAGGAACAGGGCAAGAAAAGUCAGGAUGAAGGUCCAAGCUCAUCAACAUCUAAUGGCAAGGAGGCCGAUGAGGAGCUGGAUGAUGAAGAUAUAGAUGAUGACGAUGACCUCGACCUUGACGAAUUAAAUGAACUUGAAGCAAGCCUGUCGAGAACUUCCAUUCAAAUUCGAGAACCAGGUGAGGGGACAUCAUCUUGA